UAUUGCUCUUCAACGAGGAAUCCCUAGUAAGCGCAAGUCAUCAACUUGCGCUGAUUACGUCCCUGCCCUUUGUACACACCGCCCGUCGCUACUACCGAUUGAAUGGCUCAGUGAGGCUUCCGGACUGGCCCAGGAGGGCGGGCAACCCCCCCCCCAGGCCGGAAAGUUAUCCAAACUCGGUCAUUUAGAGGAAGUAAAAGU
rnacentral:rRNA from 1 species